ACGGAAGGCAGCAGUGGGGAAUAUUGCACAAUGGGCGAAAGCCUGAUGCAGCGACGCCGCGUGAGUGAAGAAGUAUCUCGGUAUGUAAAGCUCUAUCAGCAGGGAAGAAAAUGACGGUACCUGACUAAGAAGCCCCGGCUAACUACGUGCCAGCAGCCGCGGUAAUCCGUAGGGGGCAAGCGUUAUCCGGAUUUACUGGGUGUAAAGGGAGCGUAGACGGUUUGGCAAGUCUGAAGUGAAAUGCGGGGGCUCAACUCCUGAACUGCUUUGGAAACUGUCGAACUAGAGUGCAGGAGAGGUAAGUGGAAUUCCUAGUGUAGCGGUGAAAUGCGUAGAUAUUAGGAGGAACACCAGUGGCGAAGGCGGCUUACUGGACUGUAACUGACGUUGAGGCUCGAAAGCGUGGGGAGCAAACAGGAUUAGAUACCCUGGUA
rnacentral:rRNA from 1 species